rnacentral:rRNA from 1 species
GGACUCGGGGGGAAGUAUGCUCGCAAGGGUGAAACUUAAAGAAAUUGACGGAAGGGCACCACCAGGUGUGGAGCCUGCGGCUUAAUUCGACUCAACACGGGAAAACUUACCAGGUCCAGACAUAGUGAGGAUUGACAGAUUAAAGCUCUUUCUUGAUUCUAUGGGUAGUGGUGCAUGGCCGUUCUUAGUUGGUGGAGUGAUUUGUCUGGUUAAUUCCGUUAACGAACGAGACCUCAGCCUGCUAAUUAGUAGGGCAUAUUGUUUGGUGUCCGAUUCGGGUAGGUUUAGGCUUGCCCGAGGAGGUCGCUUUGAUAUGAGCAGUAGCUAGCUUCGGUUGGCGACUGCGUUCGACUUCUUAGAGGGACUAUCGGUUUCUAGCCGAAGGAAGUUUGAGGCAAUAACAGGUCUGUGAUGCCCUUAGAUGUUCUGGGCUGCACGCGCGCUACAAUGGCGCAUUCAACGAGUUUUGCUCCUCGGCCGGAAGGCUUGGGUAAUCUUUAAAAUGCGCCGUGAUUGGGAUAGAUGAUUGUAAUUAUUCAUCUUGAACGAGGAAUAUCUAGUAAAUGUAAGUCAUCAACUUGCAUUGAUUACGUCCCUGCCCUUUGUACACACCGCCCGUCGCUCCUACCGAUUGAAUGAUCCGGUGAAUGCCGUGGAUGGUGUUCCAGUAGCGGUUUUUUAAAUCGCUUAUCUGGACUGCCAGAAGCAGUAUAAACCAAAUCAUUUAGAGGAAGGAGAAGUCGUAACAAGGUAACCGUAGGAGGGCGAAUUCCACAUUGGG